UCCGUAGGUGGAUAAUUAAGUCAGAGGUGAAAGUCUGCAGCUCAACUGUAGAAUUGCCUUUGAUACUGGUUAUCUUGAGUCAUUAUGAAGUGGUUAGAAUAUGUAGUGUAGCGGUGAAAUGCAUAGAUAUUACAUAGAAUACCAAUUGCGAAGGCAGAUCACUAAUAAUGUACUGACACUGAGGGACGAAAGCGUGGGGAGCAAACAGGAUUAGAUACCCUGGUAGUCC
rnacentral:rRNA from 1 species